UGGGGAAUUUUGGACAAUGGGGGCAACCCUGAUCCAGCAAUGCCGCGUGUGUGAAGAAGGCCUUCGGGUUGUAAAGCAUUUUUGUCCGGGAAGAAAUCGCACCUGAUAAUACCGGGUGUGGAUGACGGUAUCGGAAGAAUAAGGACCGGCUAACUACGUGCCAGCAGCCGCGGUAAUACGUAGGGUCCAAGCGUUAAUCGGAAUUACUGGGCGUAAAGCGUGCGCAGGCGGUUGUGCAAGACCGAGGUGAAAUCCCCGGGCAUAACCUGGGAAUUGCAUGGAUGACUGGACGGUUAAAGUGUGUCAGAGGGGGGUAGAAUUCCACGUGUGGCGAUGAAAUGCGAAGUGAUGUGGAGAAAUACCGAUGGCGAAGGCAGCCCCCAGGGAAAACACUGACGCUCAGGCAAGAAGGCGUGGGGGGCAAACAGG
rnacentral:rRNA from 1 species